UUGACGGCUACCGGCUAGGUGAGGGGCCUCAGCCUUCUGGAUCCUGACUUUCUGGCCUUUUGCCUCUGGAAUAUCUGUGUGGCUAGCACCUAAGCGUUUUGGAGUCUGCAUUAUUUUGUUGUGGUUUGUGACCUGAGCCCCUCCCCCCUUUCUUACAGCGUUCGACUCUGUCCCUGUAGCUGUUGAUGCUCACUAUCCUGUUUGGGGUUGGGUUGGGUUCGUUUUCUUGGGUCUGGUGGGCUUCUUUACAAGAGCUGGGAUUUUGGAAAGUUGUAGACAGAAUAUCAGGGUGCUGUGUUUCUUGUUUCAGAUGUGGGAGAUUGCAUGAGUUAUCAGCCUGCGUGUAAUUCGCUUUCUUUUGCAAGUAGUGAACUUGCCCUUGUUUGCCAAUGCUGAGAAACAGUGGCAGGCAGUUUCUGCUUGUGAAAUGCUUUUCUGUUAACUUGGAUGUGUUCUGAAGUUUUUGGAGCCUUCAGAAAAGUGUUUUGCAGUUGUUUGUAGAAAGGUAUUGGGUGCAAAAAUGAGUUUAAAACAAAUGCCAGCCUCACAAGUACAUGUAGUUCUAGGGAGUAAGCCUCUUUGGCUGCUCAGAUGCUGUAAAGUUGUUUGGAAACUUUUGUGGGAAUCAGACUUGCUUGUAGGUGUGUUACCUUACUCUUGGCUCACAGGUUUUUCUGCAUGUCAGGACACUUUGAUCUUUGUUAUUGAGUACUUUCUCAUGGUGUGGCAAAAAUGCAACACUGUACAAUGACAUGUGUCAGCAUCUCAAGAUAACACCAGAUUGCCAAGCAGCUCAGUACCUAUUUUUACCGGUGAUUUCCGAACAGGUCAGCACCUGCCUUACUUAUAUACUUGGACCUCACUCUUUCUGCUGCCAGGGGUCCAAUCGAAGCUGUAGCUACCAGCCUACGCCAGAGCCACAGCAACGCGGGAUCCAAGCCGCGUCUGCAACCUACACCACAGCGCUCAGCAACGCUGGAUCCUUCACCCACUGAGAAGAUGGGGUGCAAGAGGAUGGUCCUGUCCCAGGUCUUGGAGAGGUCAGGAUGCCACCAGAAUUGCACACCUUCUCAUCUGAGCUUAAAGGAGACGUUAAGUGUGAUAUUUUGAACUAUGUUUAAAUGAAGAUGAGAUAGAAGACAAUAGAACUGUUAGAAAUAU
rnacentral:lncRNA from 1 species